GGCAGUUUAGCUAAAUGGUAAAGCACUCAGCUGGAGUCUUUGAGGGACAUGGGUUCAAGACCCAUGGCUGUUU
rnacentral:tRNA from 1 species